CUCAAUUUUAAACUGUCAUGCUUCUUGUCAUCCUGCUGUGGGCUGUUAUUAUGCUCUGCUUUGUUCAUUCAAAACACCUACAUUUUGUAAAUGCAUAUCUGAAUUAAAUCUCUUCCAGAAUCUCCAAUUGCUGUGUAUUUUGUUGAACACAGCACAGCUGAUUUAAGAUGAGAAUCAGUGGGAGUUCAAGGACCUGGUUGGCAGUGAUGCUAACAGAAGGGUGUGCUCACAGUGGUGGAGUUAUCUCACAACCAAGAUGUGAAGGAAUAUCUGUGAGAAGUAAAAACUUGCUUGGCAAGCAAAUAGGUUGCAAGUGGUGAACGGCGUGAAUCUACACAUCUGGCCUGCUGCAGGACAGAAAGCCUGACAUUUGGAGUGACUUGGC
ensembl:lncRNA